rnacentral:rRNA from 1 species
UACGAAGGGUGCAAGCGUUACUCGGAAUUACUGGGCGUAAAGCGUGCGUAGGUGGUUCGUUAAGUCUGAUGUGAAAGCCCUGGGCUCAACCUGGGAAUGGCACUGGAUACUGGCGGACUAGAGUGCGGUAGAGGGUAGUGGAAUUCCCGGUGUAGCAGUGAAAUGCGUAGAGAUCGGGAGGAACAUCUGUGGCGAAGGCGACUACCUGGACCAGCACUGACACUGAGGCACGAAAGCGUGGGGAGCAAACAGG